GCUCAGGAUGAACGCUAGCUACAGGCUUAACACAUGCAAGUCGAGGGGUAGCAGGGUAGCAAUACCGCUGACGACCGGCGCACGGGUGAGUAACACGUAUCCAACCUUCCCAUUACUCGGGGAUAGCCUUUCGAAAGAAAGAUUAAUACCCGAUAGUACUUUUUUGAGGCAUCUUAAGAAAGUUAAAGAUUUAUUGGUGAUGGAUGGGGAUGCGUUCCAUUAGAUUGUUGGUGAGGUAACGGCUCACCAAGUCUUCGAUGGAUAGGGGUUCUGAGAGGAAGGUCCCCCACAUUGGUACUGAGACACGGACCAAACUCCUACGGGAGGCAGCAGUGAGG
rnacentral:rRNA from 1 species